GACGAACGCUGGCGGCGUGCCUAAUACAUGCAAGUCGAACGCGAGAGGAGGGAGCUUGCUCCCUCUGAUCGAGUGGCGGACGGGUGAGUAACAAGUAGGCAACCUGCCCAUCAGCCGGGGACAACUGCGGGAAACCGUGGCUAAUACCGGAUAAUCCUCCCCGCCGCGGGGCGGGGAGUUGAAAGACGGUUUCGGCAGUCGCCGAUGGAUGGGCCGGCGGCGCAUUAGCUGGGUGGCGGGGUAACGGCCCACCAAGGCAACGAUGCGUAGCCGACCUGAGAGGGUGAUCGGCCACACUGGGACUGAGACACGGCCCAGACUCCUACGGGAGGCAGCAGUAGGGAAUCUUCCGCAAUGGACGCAAGUCUGACGGAGCAACGCCGCGUGAGUGAAGAAGGGUUUCGGCUCGUAAAACUCUGUUGUUAAGGAAGAACGCCAGGUAGAGUAACUGCUACCUGUGUGACGGUACUUAACCAGAAAGCCACGGCUAACUACGUGCCAGCAGCCGCCGUAA
rnacentral:rRNA from 1 species